rnacentral:rRNA from 1 species
CCUACGGGAGGCAGCAGUGGGGAAUAUUGGGCAAUGGGGGAAACCCUGAAGCAGCAACGCCGCGUGGAGGAUGAAGGUUUUCGGAUUGUAAACUCCUUUUGUUAGAGAAGAUAAUGAAGGUAUCUAACGAAUAAGCACCGGCUAACUCCGUGCCAGCAGCCGCGGUAAUACGGAGGGUGCAAGCGUUACUCGGAAUCACUGGGCGUAAAGAGCGCGUAGGCGGGAUAGCAAGUCAGAUGUGAAAUCCUAAGGCUUAACCAUAGAACUGCAUUUGAAACUGUUAUUCUAGAGUAUGGGAGGGGUAGGUGGAAUUCUUGGUGUAGGGGUAAAAUCCGUAGAGAUCAAGAGGAAUACUCAGUGCGAAGGCGACCUGCUAGAACAUAACUGACGCUGGGGCACGAAGGCGUGGAUGUCGAACAGGAUAGAUACCCCUGUAGUC